CUAUCUACCCAAUACUAAAAUGUAGCCCAAAAUUACUACUUUACCCUUACAACCAAUAUAUUUUACACUACCAAAAGGUCUUUCAUGUAAUUAACAAAAUCAAUAUUCAUCCAUGCCAUUUGUUCACCUAUAAUUGGGCAAUUUAUUUAAUUUUUGUACUUUGCCAAUACACUUUUCAGAAACUUUCGUUUCCCUCCAACAAAUAUACUCUCUUUGCAAGCAACACAAGCACCAUACGUCUUUCUGCAAACAUCACCAGCACUUGUCCUUGUCUCGUCACUUCAAAAUUCAAAAUAAAGAUCCCUCACUUUUCCUUGUCUUCCCCCUUCUCACCUUAAACCCUAGCAGACAAAGUUCUCUUCAUUUUUCCCUUUUCCAUGUCUCUCUUUUUAAUGGUUCCUUACGAAAACUAUUUCCUCUCUUCCUUCUUCUUCGUUAAACUAUGGAGGCAUGUCUGUUAUUAUCAAUAAUGGUGGAUCUGACGGUGCUGGUUAAGAGAUGCUGGUGGUCUCUGAAAAACUAAGGGGGAAGAUCUCACAUUUGAUGCUUUGAAGAAUAACUACCUUCUUCUUCAGUUGUCGAGUUGUCGCAUAUGUUUGUUUCAAACUUGCUCCAAAUUUGUGUUUUUGAGACAUCUUGAUGUUCUGCUACAAAUUUUGAAGGAGAUGAACUAACUCCAUCUGCAAAAGUAUUGAUUUUUUCACUCAGCUACUAAAUACUUUUCUUUACUUUUGUUAUCAUUACAUAUCUCCGAACAAAGUGUCAAGACCUCUAAUUCUUAUCAGGGACUUGAAACCUAAACAAAACGUUUGGAAAAUUGUUAUUUGUGUCGUGGAUCUAUGGAUCUUAAAGAAACAUAAUGGACAAUAACAUCUUGAAGCUAUUAUACAAUAUGCAAAGGCUGGAGAAACUCCAACAAACACACGCCGAUAGCGUAGCAGCUGGAAAAUUCAUGGAAGAGGUUAGACACUCCCGUAAGCUUGGUAAAUCAUAGUUAUGUAAUCAAAUGUGUAACCUGUAAGUUUUUAUAGUUUUAUGUAAUCAAAUGGCCAAGCUUGACGUUCCCGUGAAACUUGUGAUAGACUCCGUAGUGGCUUAUACCAUGGAUGACAUGGACAUGGUAUUUGUCGGAGCAGACGGAGUUGUUGAAAAUGGUGUUAUAAUUAAUAUAAUGGGAACAUAUCAAAUUGUGUUGGUUGCAAAGAGUAUGAAUAAGCAGGUUUUUAUGGCUGCUGAAAGCUACAAGGUGCAUUUGACUAUUUACUACUUACAAUUAUCAAUCUAAUAUUUUAGCUGUUGUUUCCUGUGUUCAUAAACAUAGAAGGUUGACGAGCAGUUGAUUUCAGUGUACCUAUUCCAUCCAAGGUUGACGAGCAAAACCGACAAAUCACAUAAAUAAGAACUCAGGAUGAGAACUCAGGAUUCUGGUAGAUGAUUCUUAGUCCGAUGAUUGGUCUGAUAAUCUUGGAGAAGCAAUAGCUUGUGGAUGUGGAUAAGGUUGAAGAGGAAGAGGACAUUAUUACUCUUAAGAUGUUGAUACAUCAACAUCAACGUCACACAAAAAGUCUGCUUGCCAAGGAAGUGUUGGUUGAUUUUGAGAAUCUUUUACCUAAAGUUGUCAAGGUGUUACCCCGGGAGUAUAAACAUGUUCUUGCAAGUAUGAAGUAUGAUGUAGUAGAGAUGAAACAUAUGAUGUAGUGGAGUGUGCUGCUGCUGAUAUAGAUGAAAAAUAUGAUGAAGCUUAAGCAGUAGAGAAAGAUGAUUUUGAAGAGCUAAAGAAGUUGGCAACUGCAUCUUUGAGUGAGAACUCAAGUGAGGUAUAUUGAACUUGCAAUAUCUUCAGAAAAUACUCUAAUUUGGCUAUUCUAGUGGUGUUAGUCAAACAGUCGUAAAUCUACGGUGGUGUUUUGAAGUGGUGCUUACAAUCUGCAGUUGUGAUCCGGGUGCUUUGGUUUCUGUUUGAGGCUAAGUGCUUUGAAACUGGUGGAGCCAUUGCAAUUAAGAAAGUCUUACAAGAUUGGAUGCUUAAAAAUAGGGAACUCCAAGUUAUGCGUAUAUUUGAACCUACUAAUGUUAUUAAACUAAAGCAUUGUUUCUACUCAGCAGGUGAAAAAGAAGAGGUGUAUUUUAACUUAGUGUUUAAGUAUGUACCUGAAACUGCCUACAGAGUUUCAAAGAACUAUGUCAGGAUGCAUCAACACAUGCCUAUACUUAUAUGCACCAUGUGAACAAAGUGCUUUGAGAUGGCCAUAACUAUUGUUGAACAAAGUGCUGGCCAAUAUCAUGUUUGGUUUAUAAUUGCAGAUGUACAAGUACUUCUAUACUUUAUAUUUCAUACUAUUAAUAGUUACACUUUUAAGUAUUUUGUUUCUUUUUCAAUCAUCUUAACUUCGUAUACAAAUGAAUUCUUUAGAAAAUCAU